ACACGGGGGGCGCAAGCGUUAUUCGGAAUUAUUGGGCGUAAAGGGCGUGUAGGCGGUUUUAUCGGUCAGAUGUGAAAGCCCAGGGCUCAACCCUGGGCGUGCAUUUGAAACAGUAAGACUUGAGUACGGUAGAGGAAAGCGGAAUUCCUGGUGUAGAGGUGAAAUUCGUAGAUAUCAGGAGGAACACCGAUGGCGAAGGCAGCUUUCUGGACCGAAACUGACGCUGAUGCGCGAAGGCGUGGGUAGCGAACAGGAUUAGAAACCCCUGUAGUCC
rnacentral:rRNA from 1 species